UACAAUGUGGGGUUUUUUUUGUUUUUUAACCAAAUUCUAUACAAAAAGAAUUUGGAGCUGGGUGGGAAUGUAGCUCAGUAGCAGAGCACUUAUCUAUGAUUUGCAAGACUCUAGGUUUAAUCCCAGCACAACAAAACAAAUAACAAAAGGCAGUAACAAAAAAUUUUUGGUGUUUUUACCUUGCUUUCAUGUAAGAAAGAGUGAAGGUAUACUUUGAGGCACACAAGAAUAUAUAAUCUUAAAACCUUUUGUAUUAUGUAACAGAAAUAGUGGACUUAAUAACUUAAAAGUUUAAUUUUUUAUUAAAUGUUUUCCUAAAAUUAUAGUGAUAAUAAUAUACAAGGUUAAAACUUUAAAAGAGGGGUGGCAACCCUCAGUAUAAGUCAAUAGCAUAUAUGUUAACUUUCUUUUAGAUACAUAUCUUUGUUGCCUAAAAGAAUGUGGUUUUGGUGUAUGCAUUAAUGGUAAAUGGUCUAGAAGUUUUAAGUUUCCAUUGGGGCCCUUAAUUUACUUUGUUCAUCUGCAAUUAUCUAUUUUCUGGAGUCUCUGAAGGACCUCAUGUUGGAAUUAGGCCAUAUAGUAAGCCAUUCAUAGACAUUUCUAUACUGUACUUUGAAAAUUAAUUGAAAAGAGAAGAAUGUGUAAAGAGAAGAUAACAGUAAAAUAAGGGCUUGAUUUCUUAGCACUCACCACUUCCACUUCACUCCCAGUUACCUUCAGUUGGCUGGAACAACUCAUGCAGAAAAAUAGAAGUGCAGAAAAGUCAUCAGUGACAAAAAUAUUUGAGCAGAAUCAAAAGACAAUGAAGGUUAUAGAACACAGGAUGUGACUUAUCAUUUUUGAAAGCAGAAGGAAAAUCAUGUCUUCUCUGACUACUGAACAGGUGAUGAAGAAUAACCCUCACUGAUAUCAAGGGCACGAAAGGAUAGGAGUGGAAGAAACGGAAGGAGAGAAAGAGGAAAAUAAAGCAGAAACAGUGGCAGUGAGCAGAAGGAUGCUCUUUAGGUAACAGGAGAAUCACUGAGAAGGGAGAGAGAACAAAUAACUUACAGCAUAUCAAUAUUUGAGGACAUGAAGAGUCAUCUUCAUGUCAAUGUUUCGGUUGUAUUUUGUAGAAUGUUUACAGCAAUGUGUGUGAUACUUCAGAAUGAUUUUCAUCAAAACCAGUUCUCUUCAAGAAGCUGUCGUAGAAAAAAGUUUUCACUGACUUACAUAGCUUCCUAAAUGGACAUCCCCAAUAGCCCAGAUCAGUUAAGUAUGUUUUUAAUGUAUUAGUUAGGCUUUGUGUUUAGUCAGUCCAGAUAUUUCUGGGACCAGUUCUGGAUAAUAUAAAAUACUAUGAAAGGACCACAUACUUCAGUGGAAAAAUCAGAACUCUGGAGCCAUCACUCUGGGAUGUUUCACUGAAUCUUUUUUUGUUUCCCUUUAGUGGGAGUAGUGUCAUUUACUGUUGUAAUACUUUAGUGGGAGUAGUG
rnacentral:lncRNA from 1 species